rnacentral:hammerhead_ribozyme from 1 species
AUCCAGAUGACGAGUCCCAAAUAGGGUGAAAUGAGCAUCAUGAAU